ACCCCGGCGAGGGGAGUGAAAAAGAACCUGAAACCGUGUACGUACAAGCAGUGGGAGCCUCUUAAUGGGGUGACUGCGUACCUUUUGUAUAAUGGGUCAGCGACUUAUAUUCUGUAGCAAGGUUAACCGAAUAGGGGAGCCGAAGGGAAACCGAGUCUUAACUGGGCGUUAAGUUGCAGGGUAUAGACCCGAAACCCGGUGAUCUAGCCAUGGGCAGGUUGAAGGUUGGGUAACACUAACUGGAGGACCGAACCGACUAAUGUUGAAAAAUUAGCGGAUGACUUGUGGCUGGGGGUGAAAGGCCAAUCAAACCGGGAGAUAGCUGGUUCUCCCCGAAAGCUAUUUAGGUAGCGCCUCGUGAAUUCAUCUCCGGGGGUAGAGCACUGUUUCGGCAAGGGGGUCAUCCCGACUUACCAACCCGAUGCAAACUGCGAAUACCGGAGAAUGUUAUCACGGGAGACACACGGCGGGUGCUAACGUCCGUCGUGAAGAGGGAAACAACCCAGACCGCCAGCUAAGGUCCCAAAGUCAUGGUUAAGUGGGAAACGAUGUGGGAAGGCCCAGACAGCCAGGAUGUUGGCUUAGAAGCAGCCAUCAUUUAAAGAAAGCGUAAUAGCUCACUGGUCGAGUCGGCCUGCGCGGAAGAUGUAACGGGGCUAAACCAUGCACCGAAGCUGCGGCAGCGACACUAUGUGUUGUUGGGUAGGGGAGCGUUCUGUAAGCCUGUGAAGGUGGCCUGUGAGGGUUGCUGGAGGUAUCAGAAGUGCGAAUGCUGACAUAAGUAACGAUAAAGCGGGUGAAAAGCCCGCUCGCCGGAAGACCAAGGGUUCCUGUCCAACGUUAAUCGGGGCAGGGUGAGUCGACCCCUAAGGCGAGGCCGAAAGGCGUAGUCGAUGGGAAACAGGUUAAUAUUCCUGUACUUGGUGUUACUGCGAAGGGGGGACGGAGAAGGCUAUGUUGGCCGGGCGACGGUUGUCCCGGUUUAAGCGUGUAGGCUGGUUUUCCAGGCAAAUCCGGAAAACCAAGGCUGAGGCGUGAUGACGAGGCACUACGGUGCUGAAGCGACAAAUGCCCUGCUUCCAGGAAAAGCCUCUAAGCAUCAGGUAACAUCAAAUCGUACCCCAAACCGACACAGGUGGUCAGGUAGAGAAUACCAAGGCGCUUGAGAGAACUCGGGUGAAGGAACUAGGCAAAAUGGUGCCGUAACUUCGGGAGAAGGCACGCUGAUAUGUAGGUGAAGCGACUUGCUCGUGGAGCUGAAAUCAGUCGAAGAUACCAGCUGGCUGCAACUGUUUAUUAAAAACACAGCACUGUGCAAACACGAAAGUGGACGUAUACGGUGUGACGCCUGCCCGGUGCCGGAAGGUUAAUUGAUGGGGUUAGCGGCAACGCGAAGCUCUUGAUCGAAGCCCCGGUAAACGGCGGCCGUAACUAUAACGGUCCUAAGGUAGCGAAAUUCCUUGUCGGGUAAGUUCCGACCUGCACGAAUGGCGUAAUGAUGGCCAGGCUGUCUCCACCCGAGACUCAGUGAAAUUGAACUCGCUGUGAAGAUGCAGUGUACCCGCGGCAAGACGGAAAGACCCCGUGAACCUUUACUAUAGCUUGACACUGAACAUUGAGCCUUGAUGUGUAGGAUAGGUGGGAGGCUUUGAAGUGUGGACGCCAGUCUGCAUGGAGCCGACCUUGAAAUACCACCCUUUAAUGUUUGAUGUUCUAACGUUGGCCCGUAAUCCGGGUUGCGGACAGUGUCUGGUGGGUAGUUUGACUGGGGCGGUCUCCUCCUAAAGAGUAACGGAGGAGCACGAAGGUUGGCUAAUCCUGGUCGGACAUCAGGAGGUUAGUGCAAUGGCAUAAGCCAGCUUGACUGCGAGCGUGACGGCGCGAGCAGGUGCGAAAGCAGGUCAUAGUGAUCCGGUGGUUCUGAAUGGAAGGGCCAUCGCUCAACGGAUAAAAGGUACUCCGGGGAUAACAGGCUGAUACCGCCCAAGAGUUCAUAUCGACGGCGGUGUUUGGCACCUCGAUGUCGGCUCAUCACAUCCUGGGGCUGAAGUAGGUCCCAAGGGUAUGGCUGUUCGCCAUUUAAAGUGGUACGCGAGCUGGGUUUAGAACGUCGUGAGACAGUUCGGUCCCUAUCUGCCGUGGGCGCUGGAGAACUGAGGGGGGCUGCUCCUAGUACGAGAGGACCGGAGUGGACGCAUCACUGGUGUUCGGGUUGUCAUGCCAAUGGCACUGCCCGGUAGCUAAAUGCGGAAGAGAUAAGUGCUGAAAGCAUCUAAGCACGAAACUUGCCCCGAGAUGAGUUCUCCCUGACUCCUUGAGAGUCCUGAAGGAACGUUGAAGACGACGACGUUGAUAGGCCGGGUGUGUAAGCGCAGCGAUGCGUUGAGCUAACCGGUACUAAUGAACCGUGAGGCUUAACCUUACAACGCCGAAG
rnacentral:rRNA from 1 species